rnacentral:lncRNA from 10 species
AAAGAACAGAAAAGGAAUACAAUAGCGUAAGAGGCCAUCACACACAGUAAGGGCCGUGGUCAGAAAGAAGUUGGGAGGCUUCCAGUACCAGACAAAAUGGAGUAAGGCACUGCAGUCUCUGCCACUGAUCACAACUAAAAAUUCUGGACAAAAUGUAACUAAGGACUCCGAAAAGUAAACAAGCAGCCAAAUUAUGGAAGGGAAUCAAAGCUUGAAGAAACUAUCUGUAUGGGUACCAGAAUCCUUUUAGCCAGGCAUAUGUCUGCCUGAAAUGGACUCAUCUUCCCAACCUCUCCUGCAACUAGGUGCAACCUACCAUGGACUAAGUUCUGCUUUUCCACAGUACCUUUCAUAGAUGGAUGUCGGGUAAGUGUUUGCUGGUUGAUCCUCUGCUGAUGCCCUGCUCACCUCACAGAAGGCCUGACCACACACCUACUAGUAUCAGCAAGAAAAACUCAAAAAGAGGAGACUCUUUAGGUUCCAUGGACACAUACAGGAGAAAAACCAGCAGAUGGAGGAGGAAAUACAC